AGUGACGACGAGCAAUCGGAACGCUGUAAAAAGGUACACACGUGAGCGGACCGGCAGGAGAUCGCGGUAAGGGCGUAGCGCCCUAGCUAGCUAGUAGAGCUUUCCUAUUGUACUAGAGCACCCUCGUGUGCAUGGUUAUAGAUGACAUGAUGUAUUUGGAUAGCUAGCAUUAUGUAUAUGUGAUAUGAUUAUGUAUU